rnacentral:lncRNA from 1 species
AUAAAAAUGGCUAGAGGAAGUCUGUUUCUUCUUUCUCUGCUCCUGUGGGAUGGGUCCCAGUCAUUCUUUAGCUAGAACUUGUGUUCUUUAACUGAUUUCCAACAGUUGUGUUCAGCCAAAGCAGAGCUAGCUCAAAAUCCCUAAGGCCAAGAAGUGGCCAUAUGCUCUAUUACAAACAUGUAGCACACAUCUGGGAGUUUCAAAAAUAAAUAGCAUCCUUAUUUAGUUAUAUUUCAUUUGCAAUUACUUAGCCCUUUCUGCUUCUUCACAUUAUGAUUGAAAUAAUUUCAUUUGCCCACAAUAUGAAAUUGCUUUUGAGUGCUGAAAUUGAAGUUUAUUCAGAAAAGUGAAUUAAGGUAGCACUCUGGCAGUGAGCAAAUGCUUUAAACAUGCUAAUGGGCAAAUUCUAUUCCAAGCUGCACUGAUGAAAUCCUGCUGAUUGAAAUGGUUCUGUUUCAGGACCAGAGACUUGAUUUUGACCUGACAUGCUUAAGAGGUUUUCACAACAGGACUUCUCUCAAAAAAUAUUGUUUCAUCCAAAUACAGACUGUUUUAUGGAAGCAGCUCUUAGCUUAACUACUCUCGAAGCAAUGACUUUGAGUGGACUAUAUAAGAGCAGAGAAAUAGAUGGCUCUGGAGAACAGCAGAGAGGGAAAUUACCCAAGUAAUUGCACCAGCCAGGAGAAUGGGGAGGUCCUAAAGGCAUUACAGGGAUGGCU